GGAAGUUGAGUUUUAGCCAAAGUAUUUCCUUCUAUAGAUAAAGAUAUUUGAAGCUCGAUUUGGCGUCCUCUUAGUUAAGGAAAUUUUAGGGAUUGGCUAUGCAAAGUUUGUUUUCAAUAGGACGUGUCAUCUGGGUUGCGAGGUUGUUGGAUUCCUUGUUUUGUUAAACAUGACUAAGAAUCGCAUCCAUCUGGUUUUUAUGAAUGAAAACAAAUCAGUUUAGGGUUCUUUGGAUUCCUUUUUUUAUUAGUCACAGCUGGACUUUUGUCUCGUGUUCAUGACUGAAGACUAAUCAGUGAGCGAUACUCCCGUAAAAGAUAAAUUAGUUCCACUUAGCAACAGCGUAGGCACUUUUAUUUUGUUAACCAAUUAAUGGUCGGAAGAUAUGCAAAUUAGCUAAAAGGUACAUUGUAAAUAGGUAUCUAGAAAGACUGUUGAAGGUGAAAGAUUGAAAGUCUUAAUGAUACAAGGCGUAGUGAUACGGUUAGGUUGGUGAUGUGAGCAGAAUACCUGUAGCAUCGAGCAGGUUAUCGGGAUUCAUUCCUUCUUGAGCUUGCAUCAGCGUAGCAUCACAUUUUGUGGGUGAAAGUUUGUUGCCGGUGAUUCCCAACACUUUAGAUCUUCCGAAGUGUGGUACGUACAUUUAAUUUGAAAUGUUAUUUGUACUGGUAGUGAAUGUUAGUCAUAUUAGAGUAUCAGGAUGGAAUUAUUUUGUGACAAGACUCACUGAUUUCCAAACAAGUAUUAUUAAGUAACACAGAUUUGUAUAUGUGGGACAUGUACACAAACAUGUUAGAUUUGGAAAGGUCUGUGGUAUGAAUUGUUUAGUUAAAAAUUAUGAAAGAGCUAUUGAGCAUAUUGUGAUUAAUGAGUUAUGGCUCUUGAGACAUGAGGAUUGAUAUAAUUUUAGGACAAUUGUUAUAGUAAUUUCAAUUAUGGAUAAAUAACUGGAAUGGUUAGUUGUCUUAUUUUCAGUCUCUAAUAUUAACUGUUGGAUUUUAUCAAGUUGAAACUGAUAGAAGUCUUUUUCUUGAUACAGAGAAAAUUAUUUUAAUGAAAUGCUAGCAUGAAAAAAAGUAAAAUAAGUAUGUAAGACAAGUUAGUAAUUUUGGAUUUGUUCUUUGUUUAACAGCAGUACAAGUAAUUUCUACACUGUUGAAUCCAGCCAGUGUGUUGGAGUGGUUCACGAUCACGUGACGAGUGGGUGUUGAUCCUGGGGUUUUUUUUCUUUUAUUUUUGUCUUGUGAUGGACAAAUAAAGACAAGUGAACAUGAAUCUGUUGUGCCCCUUGUACUUCUUGGAAGUGACCUAUUGCGACCUACGACAAAUGGCGUCAUGGACAGGAUAGGUCAGGAUUAGGCGCCGAUUCUGAGGGACAACCCCAGGUUCAACGAGGGAGGUGUUAGACGGUUGGUGCGACAACGGUGUUAGACGGUUGGUGUGACGACUGCGUUAGACGGUUGGUGCGACGACGGCAUCAGACGGUUGGUGCGACGACAACAGCGUCAGGUGGUUAGAGCAACAAGAGUGCCAGAUGGUUACAGUGACGACGCAUCGAACGAUUGGGGAGAUGAGAGCGUCUGACGGUUGCAUCGAUGACGGCUUCAGAGAGAGUGACAGCGUCGACAGAGUGACAACAGCUUUGGACAGUUGGAGUGAUGGUAGCGGUGGAGAGAAGUGACUGUAAUAUUCAAGACAGUUAGAGAUGGACUAACUUGUUUCCAGAUUUUGAACUGAACUGAACUGAUCCUAUUUUGAUAAAAGAAUAGGAAUAUGGUAAGACAGGGUAUGAUUAAUGAUUAUGUUUAUUCGUAGGUUCUUGAGACCCGAUUUCAGUUCCAGAGAUGUUGAGAACUGGCGGUGUAGCUGAACAUAGCUGACUGAGGGUACAGAUGUUUGAUCCAGAUUCCAGCUGUAGUUAAGAGUAGUUUUAAGCUGUGUAAUAACAAUUUAUUUUUCUCCUAUUUCUUUCACAGCACUUUGUAACGAUGGCUGAAAGCGGAGUUGCUUGAAUCUAAUUUAAUGAUAGAUGUUAAAUAGAAGAAAAAUCCAAUAGGUUAGGCUGAGAAUCAAAUAGUUACUAGGUUCCAAUUUGAUCAUUUUGGGUAUACUUUGAAAUGGGUUUGACCUUGGAUAGCAAUGAAACAAAAAACAAACAAAUAGGAUGAGGUAUUUGAAGAUUGAUUCAGAGCUGUGAUUGAGGCUGGUGCAAGAAUAAGUUUUGCUAGGGCUUUAUUUAAGUAUGGCAUAGGCUGGAUCUUUUCUUGUGGAGUUAGAUUUCCUGGAGAUAGCUUAAGAUAGUAGUUACAUAGUUGAAGGUAGUAGAUUGCUCAAGAUGGCGGAAGAAAAAAUGGCGGAGAUGUUGCAAACUUUGACUGGUGUUUUAAAAGGAUUGAGUGUGCAACAGACUCCACAAUUACCCAAAGUGAAGUUACAGAAAUUCAGGGGUCCACCUAGGUCUCCUGGGGAUCCAUCCCUGAAGGAGUGGUUAGAUGAGUUUGAGGCCUAUAGUAAUUGUUAUAAGUUAAGUGGAAAAUCCAAAGCUCAGGCCUUAGUGGAUCAUUUAGGUGGGAUAGCGAAAGAAGAGAUUCUUUGUAGAGCGGAUUCUGUCAGAGAAGACUAUGACGAGUUGGUUCAGAUUCUUAAAUCCCAAUUUUGUCCUGUAGAAUCCCUUCAGACCCUGAGUGCUAGUUUUCACUCUUGUGUUCAGAAGGAUGGUGAGUCACUGGCGGACUUUAGUAGGAAUUUGAUGAGGUACUAUUCUCGCAUGGAGCAGGCAGCUCCCUCUGAAGAUGAAAAGAAAGCAUUACACGCAUUACGUGAUACUUCUUUGAAGGAAGGCUUUGUAAGGGGUGCCAGAGAGGCAUCGGUGAGGCGAGAAUUACGUAGGAUUGAAUUGGCCAUGAAAAGCAAACCUUUCAUGGACAUGCGUUCAGAGGCAUUGGAUCUCUUUAGAGACCAAGAAUCUAUUCGUAAGAUCGGGGUAAAAGAAGUGAAGAUGGAGGACCCUUUGAUAGGAAUAGUUUCAUGUGAUAGGGAGUCAGUUGUUGACACUAAUGAGCUUAGUGAACUAAGAGGUCAUUUGAAUCAGUUAUGUAAACAGGUGGCGGUUUUAGCCGAUUCGGUUAAUAGUAUGAAGACCACUCCUAAAGUUCCACAAAAUGAAGUUGUAUGUUACAACUGCGGAAAGAAAGGGCACAUUCGACCCAGAUGCACUGAGCCAACUUUGUGUUACAAUUGCAAAGGUCGAGGGCACAUUAGCAAGAAUUGUCCAGAAGCGGUAAUAUCUAAUAGUCCAAUUUCCCCAAAUGUUCCAAUGGAUAGUCCAAGUGUGAGAGUUAGUGGUGUAGGUAAUACUAAGAGUAGCGUGUUAACCCAGAAGUUGAUCUCUCACAGUCCUCGAGGCAAGGUCCGGUUCAAAGAUGUUAAACUUGGUUGUGUGUUUGAUACGGGGGCGGAGGCUUCCAUAAUUCCUUCAUCGGUAUUUCAUUCCCAGCUUCAAAAUUUGGAUUGUGGUCUACAACAGCAUGAUGGUUUGUUUGUAAACGUAGUAGGGGUAGGUGGAGUUGAAGUCCCUGUUGAGGGAUAUGUAGAAGUCCCUAUAACUAUUGAAGGUCAGGAUUUAGUAGGUAGCUUCCUUGUGAUUCAUGAUGAGGUUGGUCGUUCUGCUCAAUGCGAACAUCCCAUCUUGUUAGGUUGUAAUAUCCUUCGUCAGUUGCCUUUUAAGAUGAUGGAGUCGGUUUUAUCUCAAUCAUUUAAACCAAAAGAAGAAGGCUGCGGAGAUGAGUUGGCUGGUUGCUCUACACAUAAUAGUGUGAGCUCUGAGGAAGUUCUUCCACCCUCGUCUGUUCGAAGAGUAGUUUGUAAGGUUCAGUCAAGUGCUAUUGAUGCAGAUGAGGUAUUGGUGAAGGAAAUGCUGAGUAGGUUUGAUCCAACACUCUGUACAGUGGAAGGCUCCCAAAGCAUUAGGGGAGAUUCAGUGGAGUUAUUGGUACAGAACAGUUCUGAGCAUGAGGUACGAAUCCCCCCUCACACGCCAGUAGCAGAAGCUCAGGCAGUGAGUAGGAAGCAGGAAGUCCAUGUAGAAUUUCAGGAAGAGGGUAGCCUGUUGGUGUCAGGACACGAUGUUAUUACUGAUCAGACUCCCAGUAUUAAGGAGGAUACCAACAAGGCAGGUAGUAGAGAUAGUGUAGGUCUUCCUAAAGGAGUGAAAUUGGAGGGCUUGUCAGUGGUUGAAGAAGAAAAGAUUGUUGAAUUAUUGGCUCAGCAUAAGGAUACCCUUUCUGAGGGGUCAUCUGAUUUGGGAGAAUGCAUUGUGGUACCUCAUGAAAUACAAGUUGUAGAAGGUCCUCCUAUAAGGCUACCAUAUCGACGUUUGCCCCCUGCACAAGUAGAUGAUGUUAAACAAAUGUUGCAAGAAAUGUUGGAUCAGGGAUUUAUUAUUUAUUUCAUGAAAUUGAUCCCGUUAGAGAUGGAUUUUAUCAAACUAGCCUAAUUUAGUGAAAAGUAUUCGAGAUUCAAGUGCCUAGCUAAUUUAGUUUUUCAUUUAAGAAUAUGGAAGACAAAUUUUGCUAAAAGAAAAUUUGGACUGUGUCAUAUAGGAUUUCUUUUGCAAGGCUUGCUUGGUAUAUAUUAGUCUCUUUGAGCCAGAUUUGCCUUCUUUGCUAAUUCUCCUGAAAAAAAGGGAAGAAAAAAUGUAUCUAAUCCUUAAAAAAAACACACAUAAUUGGCUAAAAGUAAUUCUCAUUCAAUUUUGACAGGAUUCAAUAAAUUAACUGUAGUCUUUAGUCCUCAGAGUAGAAAAAAAAAAAAAAUCAAAUACAAUUUGAUUCUCAGCCUAAUUUUUUUUUCAUUAGGGAUUAUGAAUUUUACUUUCAGUACAAGUUUGAAAUUCUACAUUUUGAGAUCAAUUUUUUUAUGAGAAGACAAAAUAACUCCUUGCUUUCAGUUCUUCGUGACAGAUGCGUAUCUUAUACAAAUUUCUUUUCGGAUUGAAAUCUGAAGAGGUCAGUAUUUACAUCCUAAACCUUGUUUAGUUUACUGUCAAAUGAGUGAAAUUAAAAAAAAAAAAAAGUAUUGGAAUAUGCUAAUCAAGUGAUUUGGCUGAAUCUGGAUUGUUUAGUUUUUCUCAUUUCAAUCAUUCCAAGAAAUAAGUGGACUAUUUACUGUUGGAAGUUCAGUGAAAGAAUUUUCUUUUCAUUCAUAGGUUGAAGUAAUAAGGCAGAAAUUUGAUCAAAAUUGGAAAAUAAUCAAGAAAAUUGAAAAGACAUAUUUGAUUUAAUAGUAUCCAGAGAGUAGAUAUUAAUUUAUUUGAAUCAGCGUACUGGAAGAUAGAUACCAUAUACCGGUACUUUCUAAUCUUUGUUGUGAUUUUGAACAUUGAUUGUAGUGUAAGUCGACCUGAUAUUAAAUUGAAUUAUGUGCUAUAUUAUAGUCGGGUCGACUAUAUCUUGAGCGGGGGAAUUGUGGAAAGUUGAGUUUUAGCCAAAGUAUUUCCUUCUAUAGAUAAAGAUAUUUGAAGCUCGAUUUGGCGUCCUCUUAGUUAAAGAAAUUUUAGGGAUUGGCUAUGCAAAGUUUGUUUUCAAUAGGACGUGUCAUCUGGGUUGCGAGGUUGUUGGAUUCCUUGUUUUGUUAAACAUGACUAAGAAUCGCAUCCAUCUGGUUUUUAUGAAUGAAAACAAAUCAGUUUAGGGUUCUUUGGAUUCCUUUUUUUAUUAGUCACAGCUGGACUUUUGUCUCGUGUUCAUGACUGAAGACUAAUCAGUGAGCGAUACUCCCGUAAAAGAUAAAUUAGUUCCACUUAGCAACAGCGUAGGCACUUUUAUUUUGUUAACCAAUUAAUGGUCGGAAGAUAUGCAAAUUAGCUAAAAGGUACAUUGUAAAUAGGUAUCUAGAAAGACUGUUGAAGGUGAAAGAUUGAAAGUCUUAAUGAUACAAGGCGUAGUGAUACGGUUAGGUUGGUGAUGUGAGCAGAAUACCUGUAGCAUCGGGCAGGUUAUCGGGAUUCAUUCCUUCUUGAGCUUGCAUCAGCGUAGCAUCACAUUUUGUGGGUGAAAGUUUGUUGCCGGUGAUUCCCAACACUUUAGAUCUUCCGAAGUGUGGUACGUACAUUUAAUUUGAAAUGUUAUUUGUACUGGUAGUGAAUGUUAGUCAUAUUAGAGUAUCAGGAUGGAAUUAUUUUGUGACAAGACUCACUGAUUUCCAAACAAGUAUUAUUAAGUAACACAGAUUUGUAUAUGUGGGACAUGUACACAAACAUGUUAGAUUUGGAAAGGUCUGUGGUAUGAAUUGUUUAGUUAAAAAUUAUGAAAGAGCUAUUGAGCAUAUUGUGAUUAAUGAGUUAUGGCUCUUGAGACAUGAGGAUUGAUAUAAUUUUAGGACAAUUGUUAUAGUAAUUUCAAUUAUGGAUAAAUAACUGGAAUGGUUAGUUGUCUUAUUUUCAGUCUCUAAUAUUAACUGUUGGAUUUUAUCAAGUUGAAACUGAUAGAAGUCUUUUUCUUGAUACAGAGAAAAUUAUUUUAAUGAAAUGCUAGCAUGAAAAAAAGUAAAAUAAGUAUGUAAGACAAGUUAGUAAUUUUGGAUUUGUUCUUUGUUUAACAGCAGUACAAGUAAUUUCUACACUGUUGAAUCCAGCCAGUGUGUUGGAGUGGUUCACGAUCACGUGACGAGUGGGUGUUGAUCCUGGGGUUUUUUUUCUUUUAUUUUUGUCUUGUGAUGGACAAAUAAAGACAAGUGAACAUGAAUCUGUUGUGCCCCUUGUACUUCUUGGAAGUGACCUAUUGCGACCUACGACA
rnacentral:misc_RNA from 1 species